GAUGAACGCUGGCGGCGUGCCUAACACAUGCAAGUCGAGCGAACAAAAGGAGAGUGUUCUUUUCUGACGUUACCGGCGGACGAGUAAUGACCACGUGGUUAACCUACCUUUAGGAAUGGGAUCCCUACAGGGGACCUGAGCUAGUACACGACAAUAUAUAGAACCGCAGGGUUCAAUAGUGCAAGCCGUUUUUGCUGACACUUAUUCGGGGUAACGGGCUGCAUUGGCCAAUUGGUAAGGUAAAGACUUACCAAGGCAACAAUGCGUAGAUGACCUGACAGGGUGAUCGGCCACACGGGAACUGAGACACGGUCCAGACUCCUACGGGAGGCAGCAGUGGGGAAUCUUGCGCAAUGGGCGAAAGCCUGAUGCAGCAACGCCGCGUGAGUGAUGAAGGUCUUCGGAUGGUAAAGCACUGUAAGUAGGGAGGAAGGAAAGUGUGAUAAUAUAUGAAGGUAUUGACGGUACCAAAAGAGAAAGCCCCGGCUAACUACGUG
rnacentral:rRNA from 1 species